rnacentral:rRNA from 1 species
ACGAACGCUGGCGGCGUGCUUAACACAUGCAAGUCGAACGGUGAAGCUCCAGCUUGCUGGAGUGGAUCAGUGGCGAACGGGUGAGUAACACGUGAGCAACCUGCCCCUGACUCUGGAAUAAGCGCUUGAAACGGCGUCUAAUACUGGAUACGAGAAGGGUCCGCAUGGGCACUUUCUGGAAAGUUUUUCGGUUGGGGAUGGGCUCGCGGCCUAUCAGCUUGUUGGUGAGGUAAUGGCUCACCAAGGCGACGACGGGUAGCCGGCCUGAGAGGGCGACCGGCCACACUGGGACUGAGACACGGCCCAGACUCCUACGGGAGGCAGCAGUGGGGAAUAUUGCACAAUGGGCGAAAGCCUGAUGCAGCGACGCCGCGUGAGGGAUGACGGCCUUCGGGUUGUAAACCUCUUUCAGCAGGGAAGAAGCGAAAGUGACGGUACCUGCAGAAGAAGCACCGGCUAACUACGUG